CCUGGAGCCCCUUCCUCUUUUGUCUGAUGGCCCGAAGACGGUCUCCGUCAAGAGCCAGGUCAAAUGUCCCUUUUGCUCUGUAUCCUCGAGUGACCUUCCCCAGUGCUGGACAAGCUCCCGCGCUCCUUCCAUGGGCUCGGUGGCGGAAGUUCAGUUUUCCUUGAUCCUGUUCACCUGCUGUCCGCCCCCACCGUGACAGCACAUUUCCUCCCCGGCCGUGAGCUCCUGGGACACCAGCCAGGGCUGGCUGUUGGAGGGACGACUUAGCGAUGCCUCGUGCACAGAGAGCCCUCAGCAAACUCCAGGCAUUGUUUGAUCCGGAGCAGAAAGACUGCAUGGCCCAUGCCCCUUGGGUCCACGCAGUGAGGCCUGUGCAUCUGUGGUCUCCAGGGAACCAACCACCAGCCAGCCCCCUGGGAAGCCCGUCUCUCUCUCUGUGCUGCUGUGGGGGCACCUUCUCUGCGGGGAGACUGGACCUCCUCCGAAUCCCCCCCGCUGCUCUCCGGCAAAGACAGAGUCCACGCGUGGCCCCCCGUGACUCAGUGACUCCUCCCAUCGGAAGAAUGGGGACAAGCACAGAGCACAGAGCGCCCGCCGUGGGAACGCCAAGAGGACGUGAUGAACGCCCAGUGUGGCACCUGACUUUGGCCACUCGAGAAAUACGGGUGAUGCCCCACACUCGUGCGGGUUCUUCACAACCACGUGUCUCUCUUGAGUGUAAGGGAUGAUGAGUGUGGUCUGUCAGGAGAGGUGGUUUUUCUCAUCUCAUGGAUGGGGAGACAGGUCCAGAGAAGAGAGGUGACUUGCCCAAGGCCAAGACCAAGCGAGGAAAAAAAUAAGACUUGAACCCAAAUCUCGGAGCCCGUCCUCUCUGACUCGUUAGGACCCUCCAUGCUCCUUUCUUCCUCCCAUUGCAGACGUUCAGUGAGCACCUGCUGUCGUGGUCUGUGCCAGAUGCUGGGAGCCUGGUCCUUGCCGUCAGAGCUGUGGGAUGACUUUCGUGAUUCCGGGGCACUUAGCCUCCGUGGGUCCCUUCCACCACAGCAGGCAUAAAAAAUUGUUUUAUGAUGGUGUUGUUUUCCAGCCUGGAUCACAUUCAUAUUUUCCUUCUCACUUUAAG
rnacentral:lncRNA from 1 species